AGGGGAAGAGAACAGGCAUUUGCCUUUCCUUGUCAGCUGAGGCCGGACUGUGGGAGACUGUUACUAGACGUUGUUGCAUUGUAUCUGUGCUUGGAGAGAGCAUUGUGAAAAGCUGGUAUGGUGUGAAGGAAAAGACACUGUUUGAAGGCUAAUUCAAGGGCACAAUCAUGGAGGAAAUGGACUUUGAGCAGCGCCGGGAGCUGAGGAGGCAGAAGCGCGAGGAGAUGCGCCUGGAGGCCCAACGGUUGGCGAGGAAUGAUGAUGAUGAGGAGGAGGCGGCUCGUGAGAGAAGGCGCAGGGCACGCCAGGAGAGAAUGAAGAGCAGGGAGAGUGAGGAGCCCAGCGGACAGCCAGACAGUCUGGUCAUGACCAACAGCCACAGCCUGACAGAGACAGUGUCUGUGAGCAGCUCUUACGGAGGGGGCGGCGGCGGAGACGACGACGAGCAGGCCCUGCUGGAUCGCAUGGCCAAACGCGAGGAGAGACGGCAGAGACGCAUGAAGGAGGCGCUGGAAAGACAAAAGGAGCUGGACGGUGCCAACGACAGCGUCGCCACGGAGAAGAACAACGCAGAAGAGGAGAGGCCAUCCUCCUGGCGCAGGGGCCGUUACCGAGACAAUGAGGACGAAGAGGUGAAGACAGAGACGUACAGCUCGAGGAGAGAGGAGAAGGAGCAAGAGGAGCCGAGGGAGGAAGAAGAGGCUGCUCCUGAGGGGGGAGAGGAAGAAGAUGAGGGUGUAGAUGAAGGGCAGAAAGAGGAGGUGAUGGAGGACAAACCAAGAAGGUCUAAUUUGAGAGAACAGGAAUCAACAGAAGAACCUAAAACUCAGAACAAGGAGCUCGCUGAAGAUGAAACACAGUCAGUAGUCAGUGAGAUUUCAAACCAGGCCAAGUCAGAGGCUGAGGAGGAUGCAGUAGCGUCAGAGGAGGUGAAUGAGAGAGGCUGGGCCAGGGAGGAGAGGGAGGAGCAGAGGAAGCAGAACGGAGGACUGCACGAGGAGGAGGAAGCAGCUCCCAAACAGCACAGGAAACCUGAGAGGACCCCCAGUCGCGGCAGUGUGCGUUCCCCUGAGGUGUCCGCGGGUGACGACCAGGACGACGCUGCCCGCCUGGAGGCAGAGCGCAAGCUGGAGGAGCUGAAGCGUCGCCGUGACGACGCGGAGAGCGAGGAGUUUGAGAGAAUGAGGCAGAAGCAGCAGGAGGCCGAAGCCGAGCUGGAGGAGCUGAAGAGGAAGAGGGAGGAGAGGAGGAAGGUGCUGGAGGAGGAGGAGAGGCAGAAGAAGCAGGAGGAGGCGGAGAGGAAAGCCAGAGAGGAGGAGGAGAAGAGGAAGAUGAAGGAGGAGAUUGAAAGGAGGAGAGCAGAGGCAGCUGAGAAGAGGCAGAAGGUGGAGGACACUACGGACGGAGAGGAGAGACCCUUCAAGUGUGUCAGCCCUCGUGGCUCCUCUCUGAAGAUUGGAGAGAGGGCAGAGUUCCUGAACAAGUCGGCACAAAAGAGCAGCACAGUGAAGACGUCUCAUUCUCCUGUGGUGUCCAAGAUAGACAACAGGCUGGAGCAGUAUACCUCAGCUGCUCAGAGAGAGAACAAGGAGUCUCGAUCCCCCCGCUCUGGAGCGGUGGAUCUACCCAUGGUCACCGACAGCAUCCGCAACAUCAAGAGCAUGUGGGAGAAAGGCAACGUGUUCACUUCGCCUGGAGUUGGCGGGAGCCCAUUCAAGGAAGCAGCUGUGAUGAAGACAGGCGUGGCGGGCCGCAUUAACGACUGGCUGAAUAAAACCCCGGAGAGCGGCAAAACGUCAGGAGGAAGGCCAACGGACCUGAAACCCGUUGACGUCACCAACAAGAGGAGUCUAUGGGAAAACAAAGGUGCCUCUCCAACCAAGAACUCUCAUAGCUAGUCGACCUCACCGUUAAAUCUGGAAUAAGCCUGGAGAGGUGGCAGGCAGAGGGGAGACCAAAUCAGUCGCCAACGGUAUGGGACAUUAAUGUCUUGAAGGAGCCACUAAAGCUGGGGACCACGACAAUCCAAGACUCUUCCUUUGACUUUGUCUUAAGAACCAAAUAAUGACCACAUUCCCAAGAGGGACCCCGAAGAGAACCGAGGGACAGGAAAGACGCUGUCCGAGCACUGUACCGAAACAGCAUCUUAUUUUUGUACGGUCGCCACGUAAAGUGCCUUUGCACAAUAAUUUUUGCUUUCUAAAAGAAACAAAAUGCUGUGAAAUUAGGACAUAUGUAAUUAAUAUUACUAAUUACUUUUACAAUCCUGCCAGGAAGUAAAAAAAUAAUUAAAUUUAGAUUUAUCUGUUGUACUCCCUGCCGACUGUUUUGAUAGAGACGGAGUAGAUGAGGUAAAAGUUUCCACAUUCCAAAGAGAUGGGUGAAAUCAGUUCUCUCCCUCAUACAGUACAUUUUCCAUCUCUUUUUUAUUUAUAUUUAAAGCAAAAGCUUCACACAUUGCUAUUUUAUUCAACGUUCACCAGUUCAGGAUAGAAAUAUAAGCACUUCUAGAAUUUAGCUGAUUUCACUUUUAUUAUGUCUUACCAAUAGUGCAGCAAUGGUCUGAGUAAUAUAUGUUAGCACAUGUGAUGUUUUUGAAUAUGACCUAUCAUACUGUAUCUUAUAUAACAUCUUUAUACUCAUAACAAAAAGUAUUUUUGCUUUUUUUGUAUCCAUCAACUGUUCACCAACAGGCAGUUAAUUUCGGUGGUGAUAGGAGUGUUGAAUAUUCAGAAGGCCAUUAUGACUUUUAUUAUCCUUUAUGUCAUUUAAUUUAUGUUUUAAUGUGUUUUUGUCUUUUUCUAUUUCCAGCUGUUUUUGUAGCUUUUAUACCUGUUUGAUCACUUUAAAAUCUUCAAACAUUCCUCCUAAAAAGCAGGUGCACAAGGUGCCUUUGCUGCUUAAAAGCUGUAGUUUUUACAAUGUAGGAAGUUUGCAAACCAGUUUUCUUAAAAUCUACCUUAACUUCUACUAACUUCUUUAUUGCCUCUAUGCACACUCUUACGCUCAGCGAUUAUUUUCUAAUUGAGGGCAUAUAAAGUAAAAUCAGGGUGCCUACGCAUAUAGCAAGAUACUCGUACAGUACAAGGAUAUUUACCACUAUGUUAAGUCUUCUGGCCUUAUGAUUGCAAUGAAAACAUUUAUGACAGCUGAGGUACAGUACAUGAUAGCCUCACAGCAACUCAGUAUGAUAUUAAGUCUUGUGAUUUUUCAUGUUUAUUUUUCACUGACAUGGUCUUAAGUAGCACAUUCCCUCUCAUAGUGUUUGCGCGGCACAAGCUUUGAUUAUAUUAAUUUGCCGGGGCAUUAAAUUGAUCCAUGUUACUGCUCAAAAAGUCUGACAAUCACAUUCCACGGCUCCUGAAAAGAGCAGGGGAGCUUGACCAAAAUAUUUUUAAGCGUGAUUUAAUGUGACAUUUAUGUUUUUUUUUAAUACAGUGAUUUCAUAAUGCCGUAUUGUUUUUUUUUUUCUACAACUUGUUGUGUCCAUUUUAUGGUUUUUAAAGUUCUUUCAUGUUUAACCAGACACUUGUUUGUGUAGCGCAAAGCCUAUGCAAAACACACUAUCUGUAGCCUCUGUAAACACUCCCAAUGUCAUACAAGUGGGCAGUUACCAACUGGAUGAAUGUUUUAAACAUUGUACGCUUCACUCAACAACAGCAAUAAAGACAUUGAGGUAUUCCA